CAGCAUGUUAGCCAGGGUGGUCUCGAACUCCUGACCUCAUGAUCCAGCCGGCUUGGCCUCCCAAAGUGCUCGGAUUACAGGCGUGAGCCACCGAGCUGACCAGCAAUUGUAUUUGUACUCACUCAAACCCAUUUCCAAUUAUAUGCAAAUUAAGGUGCAGGUUAAUGCAAAUUGAGGGCAAAGGUUACUUAGAACUUUCUAGGAAAGGGGCGGUAACUUCUAGGUCGUUGCCACAAAAAUGAGCAGUAAGUUUCAGCUCAUUGCCAUGAUGCUGGUGGGAGUGUCUUAUGCUAAUGAGCAAUGAGGUAGCUAGGGAUCUCUUUUGUCAGUAUCUGCUCAUUUCCUCCAGUUUCUUUGCUUUAUCGUGUCUGGACUAGAUCCUGUUUUUGUUAGCAGGGUAGUGACAGAAAACAAGUCCCGCCAGUCUUGUACCGGUUUCACUGCCCUAAAAAUCCUCUAUGCUCUACCUAUUCAUCCCUUCCUCCUUAAUCUCUGGCAAUCAUUGACCCUUGUACUGUCUCCAUAGUUUUGCCUUUUUCAGAAUGUCAGAUAGUUUGAAUAAUAUAGUAUGUAACCUUUUCCUUGGCUUCUUUCACUUAGUAAUAUGAAUUCAAGUUUCUUCCCUGUCUUUUUAUGGCUUGAUAGCUUAUUUUUUUUUCUAGUAGUGAAUAAUGAUAAUAAAUAUUCUAUUGUCUGGAUAUAAUACAGUUUUUUUCAUGCAUUGGCUUACUGAAAGACCUUUUGGUUGCUUCCGUGUUUUGACAAUUAUGAAUAAACCUGCUAUAAGCAUCUGUUUGCAGGUUUUUAUGUAAAUAUAAGUUUUCAAUUUAAUUGGGUAGAUACCAAGGAGUAUACUUUAUGGAUUGUAUGGUAAGAGUGUCUUUAGUUUUGAAAGAAAUUGCCACACUGUCUUCCCCAGUGACUGGACCACGUUGCAUUUUAAUAAGCAAUGAAUGAAAGUUCCUGUUGCUCCACAUCCUUGCCAGCAUUUGGUGUUGUCAGUGUUCCAGAUUUUGGCCGUUCUAAUAGGUGUCUAGUGGUAUCUUACUUUUAUUUUGCAAUUGCCUGGUGAUAUAUCAUAGGGAGAAUUUUUUCAUAUGCUUAUUUGACAUUUGUAUAUCUUCUUUGGUGAGGUGUCUGUUAAGGUAUUUGGCCCAUUUGCUAAGCAGGUUGUUUUAUUGCUGAGUUUUAAGACUUCUUUGUAAUUUUGGAUAACAGUCAUUUAUGAAAUGUAUCUUUUGCAAAUAGUUUCUCCAAGUCUGUGCUUAUCUUCUCAUCCUCUUUGUAUUGUCAUUUGAUGAGCAAAUGUUUUAAAUUUUAAUUAAAUCCAACUUAUCAAUUAUUUCUUUCAUGGGUUUUGUACUUUUGUUGUUGUUGUAGCUAAAAAGUCACUGCCAUACCCAAAGUCAGUCAGGUUUCCUCCUGUGUUACCUUCUAGGAGUUUUAUAGUUUUGAAUUUUACAUUUAGGUCUGUGAUCCAGUUUGAGUUAAUUUUUGUGAAUGGUGUAAAAUAUGUUUCUAGGUUCAUUUUUUUUUUUUUUACAUGUAGAUGUCCAGUCUCCAUGUUCCAACACCAUUUGUUGAAAAGACUAUUUUUGCUCCAUGGUUUUGCCUUUGCUCCUUUGUCAGAGAUCAGUUGAAUCUACUUAUGUAUGUGUAUUUCUGGGUUAUUCAUCAGUUCCACUGACCUAUUUGUCUGUUUGUUCAUCAAAACUACACUGUCUCAAUUACUAUACCUAAUAAUGUCAGUCCAACUUUGUUCCUUUCCUUCAGUGUUGUGUGUCUGGGUCUUUUGCCUCUCCCUAUAAACUUUAGAAUCAAUAAUAAUUAUUUGCUGAAAUUUUUAUUACAAAUGCAUUGAAUCUACAGAUAAAGUUGGGAAGAACUGACAUCUUGACAAUUCAGGAGUGUGGCAUAUCUUUCUAUUAUUUGGUUCUUCUUUGAUGUCUUCCAUCAGAGUUUUAUAGUUUUCCCCAUACAGAUCUUUCACAUAUUUUGUUAGGUAGCGUUUAGCUUUUAUACUCCUAAAAAGUUUAAAACCUUUUGACCUACACAUUUGAUGCCACCAUUUGGACUUGGGUUCAUUUUGACAAUGCUUAAAAACCAAGUCAUUAAACUUCAGAGUUUUAGACUAUUAAAUAAAGUUUUUAGCAGACUCCUUCACAACAUGUUUACCAAGGAGAUGUCAAAUAAAUUCUGGAGAACCAUCCUAGAGAUGGGCUGAAGAAUGACAUGAUAAUCAGGGAUGUCUAUCGAGGACGUAACUAUUUUAACUGAACCACUUUAAAAUGUUGGCAACAGUAUGGCCCACGUCAAAAGAAUUGCGUAAUAUAUCCUGUUUGUGUAAUUAUUUCUAUGAAAAUGCAAGUUGGAAGCUGGAAUCUAGUCUGAGGGAAAAUCCAGUGUAGCUCAAGUGUUCCAGUUGGUAAACCCCAGAGCACAUAAAUAUGAUUCUUGGAUUCUCUAACUAUGAGGACUUCAUUUCAUUCUGUACCAUGAGCCAGAAGCUGUAGUUAUUUUCUACUCUUGCUCUUUCUCUCUGCUCAAAUAAUUGUGGCACUAUUUAUGCUCUUCCAGCUCAUGCAUUUCAUAUCUCCCAUUUGUUUCUAGAGUGAAUAUUUCAUGUGGAUUUUCAAUAUCAUUUUUAGUGAUUCAUAAUCACAUUCUACAAGCCAAUAUUUUUCAUGCUCGGUUUCAGGCCCCAGUGUAGUAUUUUUGCAGUGCUUUUCAACUGAUUUUGGCUUUUCAGGAGGCCAAAACAUAAUCCAACAACCCACAACUAAAAACAAUAAUAAAUUAGUGGUUAGAUGCUAUGAUUCAACCAUAUGUUUUGUUCUCACUGAGAAAAUCUCUUGGGUAAUUUUAGAAAACAAAUUAAAAAGUAAUAAAUUUUUAAAUGAUUAAGGUUUUUAUUUGUAUAUGCAACUACUCUUUUUGUCAUGAUAUGUACUGCAUAUUUAGACAUUUGGUCCUAAUUUUUAAAAUCCAAAAUCUCAUGGUAUUAUUUGUAAUAAGAAUAUAUUUCUAAUCAUCCCUGUAUUUUUAAGCAUGUGGGGUUAGGUUUCAGCCCAAGGUUUGUGUUGUAGAUAAUUGUGCAUGGCUUUUAAUAUUACAGUUUUGAAGAUGCAAAGCUGUGGUUUAAUAUGCUUCUUUCCUUCGUUAUUGUUUUUGUAAAUGGUGCCCAUUUUUGUAGCACCUCUCUUUCUUUUAUACAGUGAUCCCUCGCUGUUUUACAAAACAUACCUAGUAACCAAAAAAAGAAACAAAAAAGAAAGAAAGAAAAGAAAAGAAAAGAAAUUGCUGUGAAUGAACAUUUGCUAUUUGUGACUUGUUUUCCAUGAAUUCUGCAAUGAUGUUGUGGUUUAAUACUGGUUUCCAAUCAGCUCUCAGAUUAUUCUUAUUUCACAGGAAUUCAGCAAAAUCAUGGCUCCAUCUCUGUGAUAUUUUGACACUUGUCAAAGAAUGCACAAGUCAGUGAAACCAGCAAUUUUUUUCAGAUAUUUCAUUCCUCAUAUGGUGGUUUUGUUGAAUUCAAAUGCUUAAAAAUAAUUAUUUUACAUUAUUAAUUUUAUGGCAAUAGCUAAAGCCAGAGAUGAUUAUGUUUGGUGCUUCUCAUUAUGCCUCUUAUUAAAAAAAAAAAAGGAGUUCUACAACUUUGAAAGUUAGCAAAAUACAUAGUGGGAAAAGACUCCAGUUUUAAAUCAGAAGUCCCAACUUUAAAUUCCAUUUCUGUACCAUACUACUAUUGGAUCAUAAGCAAGCCACUUAACCUAGGCUUCAGUUUUUAUCAAGUCAGGCUCAUUGACUUAUGUAGCUAUUGUGAAGAUCAAAUAUUAGUGACUGUACUAUUAUGGAAUUAAUUGUUGACACUAAUCUUGGCUCAUGAAUCACUGUGCAAGGCAAUCUAGUUCUAAUAGCAGUAUGUGUCCUUUCUCCCCAAUGAGGUAUACAGCUUCCUAGGAGCAGAUAUUAUAUCUGCCCAAAUCAGAGUUAGCAUAUGUAAGAGAGUCAGUAAAAUACUUCCUGAAUUCAACUGAGGCAAUUCCAUGAAGAAAAAGGAACCACAAGAGGGAACAUCAUGAGGUAGGGGUUCUUGUCAUUGUUCUGCCACCCAUUUUGAAUGUGUUAACUUAUCACUCAAGGUCUGUAUAGUUUGUUUGUGAAACGACAUUGAAUCAACUGGCUAGGAUCCCUAAGUAUGUGUCUUACAUUGAAAUUACCGGGCACCUGAUGAGCUUUCUCUGGAAAUCUCCAACUAGGCCACUUCCUGUUGCAGAAGUGGAAAGAACUUUGUUUCAAAGCACAUACAUCUGUGAACCUCCCAGCUCUUCACUCCUGGCACGGAAUAUCAGUGUCUGGAUGUGGCGUUCUUCAUCCUUGUUUAUAAACACUGAAACAUGCCUCUUCCUGAUUAAAGACAAUUACCUAUUCCCUCUCUUUUCCACUUCAGUUAUAUUCUCCCUGAGGCCAGGAAAGGAGCUCACCUCUGACCUUGUGUGAUUUUCCCAUAUUAGCUCACCAGAGAGUGACUGAAUUGCAAAUCAGAUCCUCUUUUCUGUUACUCAGAAUUUUACUUGAUCUUGCCUACUGCAAAGUUGCAAUUAGGCUGUCUGAGAAGUGUAAAUCAAAUCCAUUUAACCUCUCUCAGGAAGAUGGCAAACGCUCAAUACCAAGUUCCCUAUCUUUUCCAUGGCCAUUUGUAUUAAAAUGCUGACAAAUGCUUACUUCUCUCCAUCUGAUCAGCUUCUCAGGUUCUCAUCCUUUGCCAUUAUUUUCUAUUUAAAAAGCUGUUCACAUACAUGUCUCUUUCCCCCAGGUUCUAGUACCCCAGAUGUGAUACAUGCAUGAGGGGGCUAGAACUUCCUGCAAGGGUGCAGGGGAGCAGGGAAGUGGGGGGUAGCGUGGGGUCAGUGGUUGCGGGGAGGUGAUGAAAGGGCCCAGCUGCCCUGGCUGAUGUGGAGGCUCACAUUUGGCUAUAGAGACUGCCCAAGGCUCAUGGUGAUUUCUGUUCUCAAACCAGAUAAAUCAAGACUUCCCACUAUCCAACUGUAAAGUUCCCAAUCAUCAACAACUUCAUGCCCACCCUCCACCACAAAGGGAAAGGAAACUGCCCUUAGCAUCCCUGAAGGGAUUUUGCCUUGCUUGUGUCUCAAAACUCUUCUGUGCUCUGUGACCCAGGAUGUCAGCGUAUCAUCAAACAACACUCUGAUUUUUUUUUUUUUUUUACCUUAUCUCCUGUUCUUAGACCUUGGCCUCUCUUCCUCAGUGUACUGAAUCAGCUUUUGCUAUAAUUUUGGUGACUCAUAUUGGCCCUGAUCAUUAUUGGAAUCCCGUAAGUUUCAUAUUCUGCUCCAAGAAACAUUUGGAUAAAUUGAGAAAAACUAAUAGCCUUUCAUGGUAAUAACAGUCUACUCCCUUCAUGAUGUCAACAAAUGCUAUCAGAGUCCACACAAGACCUCCCAAACAUUUCUGAUGAUCAGAGACAAGAUACCGUCUUAUAUACCAAAAACCUCAGGUGAGAAACAGAAGUAAACUGGCAAGCCAUCCCUGAAGCUCCAGACAGCAAACACAGCAAGCAUGCAGCUUCCCCUUCUGUCUGGAGGAAUCUUGUGCUAAGCAGCACCUACCCACAAGCCUUUGUUUCUCUACAGAUGGAAAAGCUCCUGCCAUCCUGGGCAGCACAUGGUAGAGGGGAGGCAGCCACUGACCUUCUGGGUAAUCUGUCAUGACGACCUGAUAGCAGACCGGCAGGAUGCUCCAAACUGUCACCAAAGAUGUCACGAGUGCUUCUGAGGCUCAAGAAUCUAAUUUUCCUUACUUAAAAUAAAAGGACUGAAUGCUGGAUGAAUAACCCUUUUUUUCACCCCCUAAACAAAUCUCAUAGGGAAUCCUAAUAUAUAAAAUAACCAAAGUGCAAGCCCUGGGUUAAAGCCGAGGAUGGGUGCUAGAGAUGGGCUAGAGCAUGUCUGCUUAGCUUUCUUCCACUAUCCCAGCCAUUUAAAGACCACAAGUUAGCUUCCUGGAAUUCAGUUUGACAAACACUUAGGCUAGAUCAUUGUCAGGGGACCUUCAUUUCAAGCUCCAUGGAGUAGGUCGGGGACUCUGCCUUGGUCAUCCCUGAAUCCCCACAGCCAUGGUUCUAGCACACAGUAAGCACUAAAAACCAAAACCCAAAAACCCGUAUGAUAAUGUAUGUCUACAGACAUUCGAUGAAUGGAUGAAUAAAAGAUUUUUCAGAUACCAUGAGAUGUGUUUAUCUAUUUAAGAUUAUAACUCCAUUGACCAAUAGAGUUGGGUUUUAAGCUAUAACCCCCCAAUCUGACCAUCUACUAUAUACCUUCCCUUCCCCCAACUUUUCUCUCUACACAUAUAAAAACUCAGCCUUAUCUUCUCUGAGAUUGCAUCUCAAACACCAAAUGAAAAUGUCUCCCAAAUGGGCAGACAGCUUGUUUAUACAGAAAUAAUUGCUUCAGCACAGUGUCCUCCUUUACAGGAAAACUGGAAGAAAAUGCUGAGUAGGCAGAUUCCUCCUCCUUUGCAUUAGGAAGAAAUUUAAAACCUGUUUCAGUUGUUUCUUUGGCCUUGUGUAAAAAUAAGGCUUUUCUCCCCAACCUUGGGGCUAAGUAAAAAAUAAAUAAAUAAAUAAAUCUAAACCUGGCUUACAGUUUCUCUGAGCUCCCAAAAUAAGUCCAUGCGAUUUUGAAAUGUAUUCUUCCCCCUUCUUUUCUUAAGUUGGAACCAGUCAGAGAUGAGUGGAUGUUCAUUUGGCAGCUUGAAACUGCUGAGAAAGGUGGAAACA
rnacentral:lncRNA from 1 species